CCAGAGACAGGGGCGGGUGGGGACCCGACGGGAGCGGGGCGGCGUCCCAGGCUUCCUGCGCCUCUCCCGCCCGCAACGUGUCGGUUCCCGGAGCCCAGGCCCGCACCCCGGGUACCUGAAGGCGGUCGGGCUGCGCCUUCACCGUGUGGGCCCUGAGCUCCCAAGCGGUGCCUUCGUGGGCGACACGCAGUUCCUGAGCUUCUACAGCCGCGACGAGAAUCAGAGCGUGAAGCCGCGGGCGCCGCGGGUGGAGAAGAUGGGACAGGGCUGUGGGCGCCCUGAGGAAAGUUCUCGAAGACCGCAGGGAAUGUGUUACUGAGGGGCCUGAGGUUCCUGGGCCGGCACCACCACCAGGGUCAGCCGGUGAGUGACCUCAGACUCCGGGCACAGGUGUGGCCCCCGCACCCCCGACCCCAGAGGUACGAGCCCGGAUCUCCCAGAGAUGGGGUCGGGACCUCAGCUGACCCCUCUAAGGUGGGGAAGCGCUGGGGACUUUUUGCUCCAGGUUUCUCUUUCCAUCUGGAUCAUGACUGAUUUGUGCUGUGACCAAUCACAGAGGGAGGAAGGAGCUGGGGUGGGCGGGGAGACCUCUCUCCCCUCCCCGGCCCCGCCUCCGGCUCCCCUGGGGCAGGUCCAGGGCACCGCACCUGCAGAUGCUACUGCCUAGCUGGGUGGUGACUCCGGACAGGAGCUUCCUCGGGGGACACUUUCAGUCCACCUACGACAGGGAGAUUUCAUGUCCCUGAACGAGGACCUGCAGACCUGGACAGCGGCUCAAAAAGCGGCUUGGAGGAUCCAGCGCACUUGGGAGAGGUUCUGGACCGCGGAGGCCACAAGGGAAGCCCUGAUAGGUCACUGCAUUAGGUGGUUGUUCAGACACCUGGAGCACGGCAAGGAGACGCUACUACCGGCAGGUACUGGGGUCCUCCGGGCCGCACGUCAGGACCUCUCGGAGCUGAAAUUAUGUUCCUUGGAGGCAUCCAUAUUUGAGGAACGAGGGGACCGAACACAGUCUCCUCCUCCUCCUCCUCCUCCUCCUCCUCCUCCUCCUCCUCCUCCUCCUCCUCAGCGUUUCUACUGCGGGGUUGGGGAUUCUGGCCCAGGCUCCUGAGGCUGUCCCGAGGGUGGGUGGGGAGGGAGGACAGAGAGAAGGAGUGCAGGGAGGUAAACAGGAAAGGAUAGUAGUUACUCUUGUCAACAGUGACUUACAUGGGUCCAGCUUCACCGGGAACCUUUUUCUUUCCUGGUCCUCUGUGCCCAACAAUUACACAUAGUCUUUAACUCAACCGGAAGAUAAAACACCCGGAAACGGAAUCAGCAGAGACACAGUGGAUGAAAGUACCACGCGGGACUGCUAGGUUCUAAUAGAACGUAGCAGACGUAUCAAAAGUUAUAAACCUUUUUGCAAAUCAGAAAAGAAACAGACAUUUUAAGACUGAAAAGUGAUAUCACUAAUGUUAGAACCAAAAAAACUGGACCUGAGGGUGUCUCACCCGAGGGGCUUGAGUUAAACUCUGUUCCUGUUCCUUCUGGAGCCCCGUGGAGACUCCUGCCGUGCAGCAAAGCCUGGGAGGGGCCCCUGGCUUUGGAAGACAGGCUGAGACGUCGUCGGUGAGAUAGGAGGAAGGGGACCUGCUGGACUCCCGGAGGCCCGGUACCCAGGGAAGGCCAGUUUCUGGGGCUGCCUUUGGGCUCCAGAACCUUGAUCUAAAGUCAGAUUUUCCCGCUUCUCCAUGAGCUUCCAGGAGCAGGGCCACAUAGGUCUCAGAAAGUCCCACAGUGCCUGGGAAGUGGGUCUGUCUCUUGUGGGACAAAAAUUCUCAGGUCUUUCUCUUUCAGAUUCUUAAAUUUCUUAAAAGAGAUUGAAUUGGAAUUACCCAGGCCCCACACUGAAUUGAUGAAUUGUAAGUGUGUAAUGUGCGUGUGUCAGUGCACAUGUGGAUGUAUAAACAGGUAUGGGCGUCUGUGGGUAUGUGUGUGUUUAUAAGUGCGUAUAUGUAUGUAUCUGUACAUAUUUAUGUAUAUAAGCAGGUAUGGGUAUGUAUGUAUGUGUAUGUGUGUUACUCUGUGACUUCCUCAUACUUGGCACCACCCUGGCCUUUACCUGGUUGCUCCCUACACUGUAGGUUGUAAGGGACAGAACAGCUCUCCACCGGCAGGCACGGAAGGGGGGUCAGGAUAAGUGUUGGGGAGAGCUGGUUUCAUCACACUUGGAAUAAGGAAACAGGACAUAAAUGGAUGGGUCCCACUCUUUUACAGAAUUGUGCCUUUAAAAAAGUGUCAGUCACGUUCCUAAGGGAUUUACAUGAAUUAAAUCAUUUAAGCCUCACAAGAGCCCUAUGACCUAGAGACAGCUAUCAGCCCCAUUUUCAGACAAGGAAACUGAGGUUGCUAGGAAGUUUCUUAACUGUCAAUGGGGGACUCAUGACUCUAAGGAGACAGUCUGACUGCUGAGCCCAAGUGACCGCCCUUUCACAUUCACCCUCAUACCCAUCUACUGGCUCCCUGUGGGUCACCGCCUGUGGGCUCUGACCAGCUUCCCUUUCUUCUCCGGGCACAGAGACUGGACCAGAGUCUAUUGCAUUUGUCACAGUCCCGACGGGGGAGUCAUGGGGUUGAAGUGACCCAUAGGCUGAUGGAAUGUGCUUGCUGGAUGCGGGGGAAAGGGAGAUUUAUAUCUGCCCUGGAGGGAGUCAGUGGUGUUUGCAUCAUGGCAUACGAGGUGCACUAUCUAGAAUGCUGAAGGGUAAAGACCAGCGGGGGCCAUGUAGAGUCUAUUCAUCACUGUUUUAUUUCACAGCCUGGAUGGGCCUGAGAGCGGUGGGGUGUUCACUCAUCUCCUUCCAAUCCCUGAUGAUUCCUGACCUCUCUUCUUCCAACUGGUAAUAGCUGCACUCAAGGUUGAACCAUGAGGAGGAGUCUACCCACACCCCAGACCACGGAACUUCCUCCUCUCUGUCUGCCACUCCCUAGUGGGGCCUCCUGGAUGAUGUGAGAGGACAGCAAUGGAGAUAGAACUUCCUUCUCUGGGAUCCCAAACUCCUAGACAAGCUGAGUAUGUCGAGGGGAUGGGAAGCACCAACACCCCACGUGUGUUACCGGAAGUGCUGGAAAAGCUGACCAGCAUUUACCAUCAACACAGACCUUCAAUCUGAUCAGAAACAUUUACAAUCUAUUCUCUCUGAAGCCUGGCACCUGGAGGCGUCAUCUGCAUGAGAAAAUUUGGGACUCCACAACCUCUUAUCAUAACCCAGACGUUCCUUUCUAUUGAUAGUAACUCAACCAAUUGCCAAUCAGAAAAAUUAAAAAUCUAAUUAUAACCCAGAAGCACUACCCCGCAACCCUUGCUUGCUUCAUAUUGUCCCAACUUUCUGGAUCGAAACAAUGUAUAGCUUAAAUGUAUUUGAUUGAUGUCUCAUAUGUUCCUAAAAUGUAUAAAACCAACCUUUGCCCCAACCACCUUGAGCACAUGUUCUCAGGGUCUCCUGAGGACUGCGUCAUGGGCUGUGGUCCCUCAUUUUUGGCUCAGAAUUAAUCUUUUCAAAUAUG